AUGGGGCCUUGCCCACCAAGUUCUUCAGAUAAAAAAAGUUGCCAAAAUGUCCCACCGGAAAAACUCAGCUCCACGAGUUUCUGCCAUCCACAAUUUCCGCAGCACUUGCUUUCACAUCCAGCAUAUGCAAUGAAUUUCCCUUUCCCGCCGUUUCCUCACUAUCCUCCAUACUCACAAAAUUUCCAAUAUGCUGUUCCACCACAAUAUGCUCCAUACUCAUUACCGCCACCUGAUGGAGCAAUGCCAUCACCAUAUGUACCAGCUACAGUUAUGCCAUCCAUGGCACCCUCUGAUCAAGGCACCCCACAUUCAGUAACUGGUCCAGGACAACAAGAUGAUGGCGAUGCUGAACCUGAGAGGACUGCUAGGCGACUAGCAUGGAUAGAAGAGGAAGACGUUAGAUUGAUAAGCACUUGGUUGAUUAACUUCAAGACUGACAAGUAUUGGGAUAAGGUUGCAGCAGAAUACAACAGUGCAACCCCCGGAGCUCGGAGAAGGGAAGUGAAGCAUCUGAAGAACCGCUGGCAGAGGAUGAUCAAUAAGGUGGCACAUUUCAAUGAUUGUUGGUACUGGGUCAUGGCAAAAUAUCCUAGCGGCCAGUCAGAGGGCAUGCAACAGAUGGACAAAACUUGGCUGAUGUAUAAUAAGGAAGCACAUGUGAUGUAUGAUCUCGAAGAAGCGAAGCAUAAGUUCACCUUCGGCCAUUGCUGGAACGCUGUUUGGGACCAACCCAAGUGGAAAGAAUACAUCUCUUCUUUCUCCACAAAAAGAACGAUGCAAUCUGAGUCUGGUGGUUACCUGUCAUCUCCGGAAGACUCUGAAGAUAUGGAAGAAGGAAAAUGCUUAGUGGAUCCUCUGGACAUGCUUACCAAGAACCGCGAAGAUAUGACAGAAGUCCAGCCGUCUGUCUCAAAUCAAAAGAAGCAAUCAGAACUAUUGAUAGCUGAUGCGUCGUGGCCUAUUGAAUUUCAGCUUGGGAGGCACCAAUUGAUGACUGGAACACCAAAAUUGAACGAACAUCAGCAGGGGAUGGUAGUGAGGGAUGAACUGCUUGAAAUAGAAUUGCGUCCACAAGAUUAUGAGGUGCUAGACAAUGAGAGAGUGGCAAGGGAAGAUGAACCUAAAAAAGAAACACAGCCUCAUCAAGCUUUCAAGGCGCGAAAGGUCAGUCGGAAACGUAAAGGCAAGGCAUCAUCUUCCUCGUGUGAGGUGCACGAAGACAUCAAACAUGCGUUAUAUCUUCAAACCAUGCUUAACAACGAUCGUGAGAAGAUGUCAGAGGUACAGCUCCGCCUGUCGAAAGAGCAGCUUGAAUUGGCGAGAAUAAAGCAGGAUGAAGCGAACGUAAAGAAAGAAACAACACUUCACAUGAAAUACACAGAGCUGUUGCUGGCAGACAAUUCAAGGUUUGAUGAGUUUCAGAAAGCAGAGUAUUGUUAGGAAACGAUAA
rnacentral:lncRNA from 1 species